UGCUUUGGUUUGCUCUUCAGGUCUUGUAAAUCUUUCACCUUUUAUAAAAGAUUUCUGGGGAAAGAAGCACUUUGGAAACUUUACCUGAUUUUUGUGGCUGCUUCUGCUAAAAGGAAAC